GGGAAAAUUGGGCGUAAAGCGCGCGUAAGCGGUUUCUUAAGUCUGAUGUGCCUAGCCCACGGCUCAACCGUGGAGGGUCAUUGGAAACUGGGGAACUUGAGUGCAGAAGAGGAGAGUGGAAUUCCAUGUGUAGCGGUGAAAUGCGCAGAGAUAUGGAGGAACACCAGUGGCGAAGGCGGCUCUCUGGUCUGUAACUGACGCUGAUGUGCAAAAGC
rnacentral:rRNA from 1 species